rnacentral:rRNA from 1 species
UACGUAGGGGGCGAGCGUUGUCCGAAUUUACCGGGCGUAAAGCGCGUGUAGGCGGCUUUUUAAGUCAGGUGUGAAAUCCUGCGGCUCAACCGCAGAACUGCAUCUGAAACUGGAGAACUUGAGUUUGGGAGAGGAGAGUGGAAUUCCUGGUGUAGCGGUGAAAUGCGUAGAUAUCAGGAGGAACACCCGUGGCGAAGGCGGCUCUCUGGCCCAAUACUGACGCUGAGACGCGAAAGCUAGGGGAGCGAACGGG